rnacentral:tRNA from 1 species
ACGGACGUAGCUCAACGCCGAAGAGCAGCGACCUCCGAAACCGCCGGUUGUGGGUUGGAGUCCCGCCGUCCGUG